GACGGAGGGUGCAAGCGUUGUUCGGAAUUACUGGGCGUAAAGCGCACGUAGGCGGCUUUUUAAGUCAGAGGUGAAAGCCCGGGGCUCAACUCCGGAAUUGCCUUUGAGACUGGGAGGCUUGAUCGUCGGAGAGGUGAGUGGAAUUCCGAGUGUAGAGGUGAAAUUCGUAGAUAUUCGGAAGAACACCAGUGGCGAAGGCGGCUCACUGGACGACUGAUGACGCUGAGGUGCGAAAGCGUGGGGAGCAAACAGG
rnacentral:rRNA from 1 species